rnacentral:rRNA from 1 species
GACGAAUGCUGGCGGCUUUCUCAACACAUUCAAGUUGAACGAAGAACGAUGGAAGCUUGCUUCUAUCAAUCUUAGUUGCGUACGGGUGAGUAACGCGUAAUCAACCUGCCCUUCAGAGGGGGACUACAGUUGGAAACGACUGCUAAUACCGCAUACGUUCUACACUCGGCAUCGAGGAUAGAUGAAAGGUGGCCUCUACAUGUAAGCUAUCACUGAAGGAGGGGAUUGCGUCUGAUUAGCUAGUUGGAGGGGUAGCGGCCCACCAAGGCGAUGAUCAGUAGCCGGUCUGAGAGGAUGGACGGCCACAUUGGGACUGAGAAACGGCCAAGACUACUACGGGAGGCAGCAGUGGGGAAUCUUCCGCAAUGGAGGAAAGUCUGAAGGGGCAACGCCGCGUGAGUGAUAACAGCAUUCAGGUUGUAAAGCUCUGUUAAUAAGGACAAAAAGCAUUAAUGCGAAUAGUGAGAAGGAUUGACGGUACCGAAGUAGAAAGCCAAGGCUAACUACGUG